rnacentral:rRNA from 1 species
GUCUACAGCCAUACCACCCUGAACGCGCCCGAUCUCGUCUGAUCUCGGAAGCUAAGUAGGGUCGGGCCUGGUUAGUACUUGGAUGGGAAAAAAAAAAAAGAAAUAUUGAGUAUAGAUC